rnacentral:rRNA from 1 species
CCUACGGGGGGCAGCAGUGAGGAAUAUUGGUCAAUGGACGAGAGUCUGAACCAGCCAAGUAGCGUGAAGGAUGACUGCCCUAUGGGUUGUAAACUUCUUUUAUAUGGGAGUAAAAUGUUCCACGUGUGGGAUUUUGUAUGUACCAUAUGAAUAAGGAUCGGCUAACUCCGUGCCAGCAGCCGCGGUAAUACGGAGGAUCCGAGCGUUAUCCGGAUUUAUUGGGUUUAAAGGGGGCGUAGGUGGAUUGUUAAGUCAGUUGUGAAAGUUUGCGGCUCAACCGUAAAAUUGCAGUUGAAACUGGCAGUCUUGAGUACAGUAGAGGUAGGCGGAAUUCGUGGUGUAGCGGUGAAAUGCUUAGAUAUCACGAAGAACUCCGAUCGCGAAGGCAGUUCACUGGACUGCAACUGACACUGAGGCUCGAAAGUGUGGGUAUCAAACAGGAUUAGAUACCCUUGUAGUC